rnacentral:rRNA from 1 species
UUUGGAGGGCAAGUCUGGUGCCAGCAGCCGCGGUAAUUCCAGCUCCAAUAGCGUAUAUUAAAGUUGUUGCAGUUAAAAAGCUCGUAGUUGAAUUUCGGGGUUAGUAGGUUGGUCAUGCCUCUGGUAUGUACUGAUCUUACUGAUUCCUCCCUCUUGACGAACUGUAAUGUCAUUAAUUUGGUGUUGCAGGAAAUCAGGACUGUUACUUUGAAAAAAUUAGAGUG